AUUGAACGCUGGCGGCAUGCUUUACACAUGCAAGUCGAACGGCAGCGCGGGCUUCGGCCUGGCGGCGAGUGGCGAACGGGUGAGUAAUACAUCGGAACGUGCCCAGUCGUGGGGGAUAGCUCGGCGAAAGCCGGAUUAAUACCGCAUACGACCUGAGGGUGAAAGCGGGGGAUCUUCGGACCUCGCGCUAUUGGAGCGGCCGAUGGCAGAUUAGCUAGUUGGUGGGGUAAAGGCCUACCAAGGCGACGAUCUGUAGCUGGUCUGAGAGGACGACCAGCCACACUGGGACUGAGACACGGCCCAGACUCCUACGGGAGGCAGCAGUGGGGAAUUUUGGACAAUGGGCGAAAGCCUGAUCCAGCAAUGCCGCGUGUGUGAUGAAGGCCUUCGGGUUGUAAAGCACUUUUGGCGGGAACGAAAAGGACUGUGCCAAUACCACCGUUCGAUGACGGUACCCGCAGAAUAAGCACCGGCUAACUACGUG
rnacentral:rRNA from 1 species